GACGAGGGGUCCUAGCGUUGUUCGGAAUCACUGGGCGUAAAGCGUAUGUAGACGGGCUUUUAAGUCAGGUGUGAAAUCCCACGGCUCAACUGUGGAAUUGCAUUUGAAACUGGAAGUCUUGAGUGUGGGAGAGAUUGGUAGAAUACCUGGUGUAGUGGUGAAAUACGUAGAUAUCAGGUGGAAUACCGGUGGCGAAGGCGGCCAAUUGGCCCAACACUGACGCUGAGAUACGAAAGCGUGGGGAUCAAACAGG
rnacentral:rRNA from 1 species